rnacentral:sRNA from 1 species
UCCCGAAGCAUUCGUGCCCGGUCAGCAC